CNAUAUGCAGUCGAGCGGUAACAGAAAGUAGCUUGCUACUUUGCUGACGAGCGGCGGACGGGUGAGUAAUGCUUGGGAACAUGCCUUGAGGUGGGGGACAACAGUUGGAAACGACUGCUAAUACCGCAUAAUGUCUACGGACCAAAGGGGGCUUCGGCUCUCGCCUUUAGAUUGGCCCAAGUGGGAUUAGCUAGUUGGUGAGGUAAUGGCUCACCAAGGCGACGAUCCCUAGCUGGUUUGAGAGGAUGAUCAGCCACACUGGGACUGAGACACGGCCCAGACUCCUACGGGAGGCAGCAGUGGGGAAUAUUGCACAAUGGGCGCAAGCCUGAUGCAGCCAUGCCGCGUGUGUGAAGAAGGCCUUCGGGUUGUAAAGCACUUUCAGUCAGGA
rnacentral:rRNA from 1 species